AUUGAACGCUGGCGGCAGGCCUAACACAUGCAAGUCGAACGGAGUGGCGGACGGGCGAGUAAUGUCUGGGCAUCUGCCUGGCAGAGGGGGAUAACGUCCGGAAAAGGGCGCUAAUGCCGCUUACUACCAGAUGAGCCUAGGUGGGAUUAGCUAGUUGGUGGGGUAAAGGCCUACCAAGGCGACGAUCCGUAACUGGUCUGAGAGGAUGAUCAGCCACACUGGAACUGAGACACGGUCCAGACUCCUACGGGAGGCAGCAGUGGGGAAUAUUGGACAAUGGGCGAAAGCCUGAUCCAGCCAUGCCGCGUGUGUGAAGAAGGUCUUCGGAUUGUAAAGCACUUUAAGUAGGGAAGCGUUACCAACAGAGUAAGCACCGGCUAACUUCGUGCCAGCAGCCGCGGUAAUAC
rnacentral:rRNA from 1 species